UUGCAUUUAAAGAAGUCUGGCUUGAGCAGUGUUAUUUCUUAUGUGCUAUACAAUCAGUUGAAGGUUAAUUAGCAGUAUAACUAAAUAGUCAUGCUGCCAGUCUCCUUCAGACAAAC